UACGGGGGGGGCAAGCGUUGUUCGGAAUUAUUGGGCGUAAAGAGCUCGUAGGCGGCUUGUCGCGUCGGAUGUGAAAGCCCGGGGCUUAACUCCGGGUCUGCAUUCGAUACGGGCAGGCUAGAGUUCGGUAGGGGAGAUCGGAAUUCCUGGUGUAGCGGUGGAAAUGCGCAGAUAUCAGGAGGAACACCGGUGGCGAAGGCGGAUCUCUGGGCCGAUACUGACGCUGAGGAGCGAAAGCGUGGGGAGCGAACAGG
rnacentral:rRNA from 1 species